AUCAGAAGAGUUUCCUUUUCUGAUUUAUAGUCGUACUACCAUGGAAGUCUUUCGAAGAGAGAUAUAGUACAUGAGCUAGAAGAGCAUGACAUUUACUGUUGUGUCGGU
rnacentral:rRNA from 1 species